rnacentral:rRNA from 1 species
UGGGGAAUAUUGCACAAUGGGCGCAAGCCUGAUGCAGCCAUGCCGCGUGUAUGAAGAAGGCCUUCGGGUUGUAAAGUACUUUCAGCGAGGAGGAAGGCGUUGUGGUUAAUAACCGCAACUAUUGACGUUACUCGCAGAAGAAGCACCGGCUAACUCCGUGCCAGCAGCCGCGGUAAUACGGAGGGUGCAAGCGUUAAUCGGAAUUACUGGGCGUAAAGCGCACGCAGGCGGUCUGUCAAGUCGGAUGUGAAAUCCCCGGGCUCAACCUGGGAACUGCAUCCGAAACUGGCAGGCUAGAGUCUUGUAGAGGGGGGUAGAAUUCCAGGUGUAGCGGUGAAAUGCGUAGAGAUCUGGAGGAAUACCGGUGGCGAAGGCGGCCCCCUGGACAAAGACUGACGCUCAGGUGCGAAAGCGUGGGGAGCAAACA